CCCCUCUUAGGAUCACACCUGGAGAAUUUCCUGUACUCUACCAGUCUCGGCUACAGGAUGGAAAGUCAAGCAGAGGAAUAACCAUUCCAUUUCUAGCUUGGGCAGUGGCUAGCGAGUGGAAGGCAAUCUGCUACAAGU